AACAUUAUUAAGCAGUGGUUCCUUUAUUAAAGGUGUAGUGCCCGUGCUGCUACAUCCCUUCUUUCCCAAAGCAGAAAUCAGGUGCCUGUAUCAGACAAUGCAAGAGUGAGAUGACACAUCUCAGCAAGUAAACAGAGCAAACAACAAUUGGACAAUGUAAACCAACCGUGCUUAAACAACCACAUAGUUCAAAACUUCCUUCUUGAACAUUAAUUUGCAGCAAGUAAGCAAGUAAUUGAUUACUUAAUGCCAAGAUGAAUCACAAUGUAAAGAUCCACACUAUCCACAUCCACAUAACAGAUUCCACACCUCUCCCAUGAAUGGACAUGGCUACAGAUGCAGUAAUGACUUCUGCCUUCAUAUCUCUAAGGAUAUAAAGCUGCAUCAUACCCCUUCUCAGGCAACAUAUGAUGCUCAUUGUACUGGUACGGUCAGACCAUAAGAUCGCGACAAAACUUCAAUGCAAUGGAUGAUGAAUGCAUUAUGCAAGUCAACAACAUGAGUUCUUCCCAAACAAAAUGUGCUAGACAUAUACUUCCACCCAUUCCACAUAAUAAACCACAUGGGUAACAUGAUCAAACCACAAACUCAACAUAUGUAAUCAAUAAAACAUGAAUAUCUUCCAACGAUGGUACUCAAUUAGAAAUAUCAAUACGAACACAAAUAGCACAAACAUAAUCAAGUAUAAGACUCUUCAUUCGACAGACGGAAUAACCAUCACUGUUUUACUUGCCUUCACCAGAAGUUUGGGUGAAUCCCUAAGUACGAUCCGGAAGUCCACCACCUGUUUUUGACACACAACUUAGUGCACCAAUUUCACAUAAUAAGCCUCAUAAACGACGCCGCACCUACGCACAACCUUAAACCCCGCCAUGGGUAACAAUUCUCCCCGCACCCACCAAACUGCAGCGGCGCUGCUUAAUAAUUUCAUAACUUUAAAAUUAUUACAGCAGUGGUGACAACCAAAAACUCCAGAGGCAUCUACAUCAAAUUCCCCACAAGUUUUGUAUACAAUUUAUAUUAAAAUUCCAACAUCUAAUUAGCCCAAAUGAGUCCUCAAGAUAAACCCUGUAAUCUGUUUUUUCUCUUUUGGACAGCGACAUACCCGGAUUCAAACAGCGAUAUCUUUUAAGAUAUAAUUCCAAAUCAAGCGCAUAAGUACUCAUUCAAAAGAUAAGACAAAGCCUUACAUGAUUAUCAUACUGGUUAUCACUAAUUACACACGAAAAAUUCACAGAAACUGCUAAUACUACUACUGUUCACCCACCUGAAAAAUCUGUUUUUUUACAGCAACAUAUCCGGAUUCAAACAAUGAUAUCUCCUAAAUUAUAACUCCGAAUCGAGCGCAUAAGUACUCGUUGGAAAGGUAAGACAAAGCCCUACAUGAUUAUCAUACUGGUUAUCACUAAUUACCCACGAAAAAUUCCCAGAAACUGCUAAUACUACUGCUGUUCACCCACCUGAAAAUCUGUUUUUUUGGACAGCAACAUAUCCGGAUUCAAACAAUGAUAUCUCCUAAAUUAUAACUCCGAAUCGAGCGCAUAAGUACUCGUUGGAAAGGUAUGACAAAGCUCUACAUGAUUAUCCCACUGAUUUCCACUAAUUAACCCACGAAAAUUCCCAAAAAUCCCUAGAACUACUGCUGUCCACCCACUCACAAAAUUCCUGGACAGCACCUCUACCGAUUCGCAAAGAUAAACGCAUAAUCCAAUUGAUUGCAGCACAAAAACAACAAAGGUUAAACAUGAAUUCACCUUGGGUUCUUCCCUUCCUCCUUCCUUCUUCCUCCCUCCAAACUCCAAUUGAGAUCGCAGCCACACGACGGAGAACACGUGGGAGGGCUGCACCUUGGAGGGGGGGAAGAGAAAUGGGGGGGGGCUAGGGUUUUGGGUGGUGAGGGCUGCAAAGGUUUGAGGAGAAAGAAGAUGGAAGAGGGGGGAAG
rnacentral:lncRNA from 1 species